rnacentral:rRNA from 1 species
AUUGAACGCUGGCGGCAGGCCUAACACAUGCAAGUCGAAUGGUAACAGGAAACAGCUUGCUGUUUCGCUGACGAGUGGCGGACGGGUGAGUAAUGUCUGGGAAACUGCCUGAUGGAGGGGGAUAACUACUGGAAACGGUAGCUAAUACCGCAUAACGUCGCAAGACCAAAGAGGGGGACCUUCGGGCCUCUUGCCAUCAGAUGUGCCCAGAUGGGAUUAGCUAGUAGGUGGGGUAACGGCUCACCUAGGCGACGAUCCCUAGCUGAUCUGAGAGGAUGACCAGCCACACUGGAACUGAGACACGGCCCAGACUCCUACGGGAGGCAGCAGUGGGGAAUAUUGCACAAUGGGCGCAAGCCUGAUGCAGCCAUGCCGCGUGUAUGAAGAAGGCCUUCGGGUUGUAAAGUACUUUCAGCGGGGAGGAAGGGAGUAAAGUUAAUACCUUUGCUCAUUGACGUUACCCGCAGAAGAAGCACCGGCUAACUCCGUG